UAUUAAAAUUUUUAUCCAUUUCUUUUGUUAAAAACUAACGUAGCUAAUGGAAUAAUCAGACAAUUACACGUGACGUGCUACGUGUACCUCAUGCUAGCGUACAAGGGCUAAUUUUUGACAGUAGAAAUAGAUGGAAUUUUUAAUA
rfam:Gossypium raimondii Chr02_contig_41, whole genome shotgun sequence.